rnacentral:lncRNA from 1 species
CCCUUACAGUAUUAUAGACACUAUGUCCUGGGAUUUACUAUGUAGAAGAACCCCUUACAGUAUUAUAGACACUAUGUCCUGGGAUUUACUAUGUAGAAGAACCCCUUACAGUAUUAUAGACACUAUGACCUGGGAUUUACUAUGGUCUAUGUAGAAGAACCCCUUACAGUCUAACAACUGUUGUUGUGUAGCAUCAUAGAGCAAAACAUGUCACAUGUUCGUGAGAGUGUCAGCUGUUCAGAUUUAGCUUUUAAUAGUUUGCAGCUCUGACCAAUCAAAACUCCAGAGACAUUUUUAAUAGUUUGAUGCUCUGACCAAUCGGACUCUAGAGACAUUUUCUAUACAGCUCCGGCUCAUCUCUCAUUGAUCAGACUAAUGGCUGGUAUCUAUGGAGACAUAUGAAAUAGACCAACCCAAUGGCACAUUCUCAAACACACACUGUUUAAACCCCCUAGAGUCGAUUUCUGCUUAGCCAGUGUAAUUAACAUUUAUAUAACCCCCAUCAAAAUCAGUCAGUUAAAGUUAGAGAUAUCUGAUACACAGUUAAAGUCGAAAGUUUACAUACACCUUAGCCAAAUAUAUUUAAACUCAGCUUUUCUGAGAAAUGUGUGCAGUGGUUUAAAAACGAGUUUUAAUGACUCCAACCUAGUAAGUGUACGUAAACUUCCGACUUCAACUGUAUUUUGCAAUUGGACGCGUUUCAAUCCACCGUAUCUGCCAAAUUCGCACUUCCGCAUCUCCGCUGAAAGAUGUUUGUCAGAUCAUGAGGACUGGCCACCCCCUCAUAGCCUGGUUCCUCUCUAGGUUUCUUCCUAGGUUCCUGGCCUUUCUAGGGAGUUUUUCCUAGCCACCCCCUCAUAGCCUGGUUCCUCUCUAGGUUUCUUCCUAGGUUUUGGCCUUUCUAGGGAGUUUU